GACGAACGCUGGCGGCGUGCCUAAUACAUGCAAGUCGAACGCAGUGGGGACGGGUGAGUAACACGUGGGUAACCUCCCAUCAGAGGGGAUAACACUUGGAAACAGGUGCUAAACCCAUACUGAUGGAUGAACCCGCGGUGCAUUACCUAGUUGGUGGGGUAACGGCGCACCAAGGCCACGAUGCAUAGCGGACCUGAGAGGGUGAUCGGCCACACUGGGACUGAGACACGGCCCAGACUCCUACGGGAGGCAGCAGUAGGGAAUAUGCGGCAAUGGACGAAAGUCUGACGGAGCGACGCCGCGUGAGUGAAGAAGGUUUUCGGAUCGUAAAGCUCUGUUGUGAGGGAGGCGGUAUCUAACCAGAAAGCCACGGCUAACUACGUGCCAGCAGCCGCGGUAAUAC
rnacentral:rRNA from 1 species